GGGUGGCGACCGCGACUACCUCCCCCAGCGCCGCCACAAACCUCCAUCCUCCUCCUCGCCGCGGCCGGAGGAUGCCGGCGGGCAAAGCCCCAACGGCGGACAGCGGCGGCGGGGCUCCCCCUUCAGGCGAGGUCUUCUCCUGGGCGGCAGCGUCGUGUCUCCAGGGCGUCGCCGGGGCCGGCUGCUCCGGGAAGGGGCGGCGGUCUGUCCGUGCGGAUCUGGAGUCCCGCGCCCUGAUCUGCAGGGGACGGCCGGGCUGUGUCCUGCUGGUGGCGUGGGCUUGCGUGGGCAGGCGUUGCGGGGGAUGCUGGGGAGCGGCGAGGCGUUGGGCUAUUGUGGCGCGGCGAGGUGCGGGCUCCUGUGGCACAGGCGGGCGAGGCGCGGUCUGCCUUGGUGCAGCGUGUGCCGGCGUGGUGGCUGGGGAGGCCAGUGUGGUGGCCGGGGCGGCGGAUCUCUGGGCGUCAAGCGGGCGUCGGAUCCGUUGAUAGGCUCUGUACGUGUACAAGACGGAUAAUUCUUUCUGGAGACUUGGAGAGUUGCCAAGCUGAUACCUGAACUUCUAGUCCGUCAUGGAGAUACAACAAACCCUCAGCAUCACCAAAUGCUAUUUCCAACCUGAUGUCCCAUGGAAGAACGGGGUAAGCUCGAUUGAAUAGAUGAUCAUCUAGGGUCUUGUUUGACAAGAACUCAUAGACAAGCAUCCUUUGAGGACCUCGUUCGCCACGAGCGGCACAGUACCCAAUGAGCUUGAGGAGGUUUGGGUGCUCUACAACCCCUAGAAAAUGAACUUCUACCACCCAUUGCUUAUGACCCUGGAUCAAUGUUAGGUGGUACCUAGUAACCAAAAGGAAGUCAAAUACCGAAUGAGACAAACGUCACAUUCAAUUGGCAAGUGAAUAGUUCUUACACCGAA